rnacentral:rRNA from 1 species
UGAGGAAUAUUGGUCAAUGGGCGGGAGCCUGAACCAGCCAAGCCGCGUGAGGGAUGAAGGCCCUAUGGGUCGUAAACCUCUUUUGUCAGGGAACAAAAGCGAGUAUGUAUACUAGUCUGAGUGUACCUGAAGAAAAAGCAUCGGCUAACUCCGUGCCAGCAGCCGCGGUAAUACGGAGGAUGCGAGCGUUAUCCGGAUUUAUUGGGUUUAAAGGGUGCGUAGGCGGCGAUGCAAGUCAGCGGUAAAAGCCCGGGGCUCAACCCCGGCGAGCCGUUGAAACUGCAGUGCUAGAGAAGGCGAGAGGUACGCGGAAUGCGUAGUGUAGCGGUGAAAUGCUUAGAUAUUGCGCAGAACUCCGAUUGCGAAGGCAGCGUACUGGCGCCUGACUGACGCUGAGGCACGAAAGCGUGGGGAUCGAACAGGAUUAGAUACC